rnacentral:rRNA from 1 species
ACGCGUGGAACCUUACCAGGUCUUGACAUCCUCUGACACUCCUAGAGAUAGGACGUUCCCCUUCGGGGGACAGAGUGACAGGUGGUGCAUGGUUGUCGUCAGCUCGUGUCGUGAGAUGUUGGGUUAAGUCCCGCAACGAGCGCAACCCUUGAUCUUAGUUGCCAGCAUUUCGGAUGGGCACUCUAAGGUGACUGCCGGUGACAAACCGGAGGAAGGUGGGGAUGACGUCAAAUCAUCAUGCCCCUUAUGACCUGGGCUACACACGUGCUACAAUGGAUGGUACAAAGGGCAGCAAAGCGGUGACGCCUAGCAAAUCCCAUAAAACCAUUCUCAGUUCGGAUUGUAGGCUGCAACUCGCCUACAUGAAGCUGGAAUCGCUAGUAAUCGCGGAUCAGCAUGCCGCGGUGAAUACGUUCCCGGGCCUUGCACACACCGCCCGU